CCACCACUACUUUACUUUUCCCCCACCACACUAGUGCACCACCAACUCCAUUAUCUUUUGCUCCCCACCAAAUCCUUCUCCCUUCUUACUCAAUAGAUCGCCAGUGGAGCUGUUUAAGAAAAUCCAAUUCGUAUAUUCCAACAGAAUGUUUACAGCAAGCUCAUGCCAACAUCAAAACCAAGUUUCACACAGAAAAAAACACCCGAAAUAACAUCUAUAAUCUCCGAGAUCUCCUUAUUCAAACAGUAUAUGCCAACAAAUUUUCACCAAGAAGAAGAAAACAGAUCAGCCAAUCAAGCACAAAUAGACAAGGUCAAGCGCGAGAGUAAGAACUACACAAGGAGUUAGAGUACCUUAGCAAAACUUUGCUAUCAGGUGGGCAAUUUCUUACGCGUAAAUAAAAUGCUAUGCAUGUGUUAUGCUUUAAAAUGAAAAUUGGAUCUUCAAGUGUGGUAUGCUUUAUUAUGCUUUACGCUAAAUGAUUUACGCUUGAUUACGCUUAUUUACGCUUGAAUGCUUUACGCUGAUAAGUUUAUGCCUGUGAUUGAUGAUUGCGUCUGUUGGGGGAGGCCUCCCUCAACAGUACGAUGCCGUGUCCGCUGAGGAGGGCCUUCCUCACGGCGCGAUGCCCGUGUCCGCUGAGAGAGGCCUCUCUCGCGGCGCGAUGCCAGUAUGCCAGUAUGCCAGUAUGCCAGUGUUACAGCGUCUAUUGGGGGAGGCCUCCCUCAAUAGUACGAUGCCGUGACCGCUGAGGGAGGCUCCCCCUCACGGCGCGAUGCCCGUGUUCGUUGGGGAAGGCCUUCUCCACGACACGAUGUUUGUUAAUGAAGAUUGAUGAUUGUUAAUGAUGAAAAAUGCGCUCAUGCUGUUUAUGAAUAUGGAAAUGUUUAAUGAGCAAAGGAUUUGAAAGAAACUUAUGUCUCUUAUGCGAAGUUGUGUUUUGUUGUUGAUAUUAUGUUAUAUGCUUGGCACUGCCCACUGAGUACUCUUGUACUCAGCCCUUCGUAUGUUUAUGUUUGUGCAGGUUGAGUUGUGAUGGGCGAUGAAGUGUUGCUGAGUGGAGUUUUUGGUCGAACUUAAAGUAGGCUCAGAAAGGAUACAUGUCUUCAUACAUGUAUCACAAUUAUGCUUUCCGCUGUAAACACUGAUUAUUUCAGUUACGCCUUCCGUUGCAAACUCUGAUAAUGUUUUAGCCAAGCCCCUAAUGAUGCCUUUUUCCUUUUAAGGAAUAUAACGCGUAUACAAGUUCUUUGAGUACCCUUUUUAUGCGAACUAUGCCUUUUUCCUUUUUAAGGAAUAUUUCACGCGUAUUCAA